rnacentral:rRNA from 1 species
AUUGAACGCUGGCGGCAUGCCUUACACAUGCAAGUCGAACGGCAGCGGACCUUCGGGUGCCGGCGAGUGGCGAACGGGUGAGUAAUAUAUCGGGAACGUACCUUUCAGUGGGGGAUAACGUAGCGAAAGUUACGCUAAUACCGCAUAUUCUGUGAGCAGGAAAGCAGGGGAUCGCAAGACCUUGCGCUGAUUGAGCGGCCGAUAUCAGAUUAGCUAGUUGGUGAGGUAAAGGCUCACCAAGGCGACGAUCUGUAGCGGGUCUGAGAGGAUGAUCCGCCACACUGGAACUGAGACACGGUCCAGACUCCUACGGGAGGCAGCAGUGGGGAAUUUUGGACAAUGGGCGCAAGCCUGAUCCAGCCAUGCCGCGUGAGUGAAGAAGGCCUC